GCAAGGUGGGGCAGCAAAAGUGUAAGAAGACUGGAGAGUUGAGAGUACCAAGUUAUAAAAGGGUUUGAGCACCAGUGAAUUUUCUGUUUGAUCCUGUCCUUUCCAGACCAUAGAGAGUCACUCCAGUCUACCUUGGUCAGACUUGUACUUCAGUUGAUUUUUCCUCACUGACAGGCUGGAAAACCAGUGACUGGAUAUGCUCUUGAGGUGACUAGAUGGCCCCUGUGAAUGACUGUGAAGGAAAUUUUCCUGUAGCUGAAAAAAAUUUCAUUUUCUAUGGGACCUUCAUCCACAGCCCACUUAGACCUGACAAUCCUAAGUGAUCUACCUGCGGCUCAGGACUGUUACACACCUAGCAAACGUUAAAGGCACAAUUUGAACACAAGUUGUCCCUGACUCCAAAUCCAGCAUUCGGUCUGCUAGACCAGCCUGCCAGCUAAGAAGCUGCAUCACAGUGAAUGAAUAGAGUCUGAAGUCCAAGGACCUACAUUUGAAUUCCAACUCUGAAACAGAAACUACCAGAUGACAUGGCCUGCACAAUCAGAUGGUUUUUAAGUCUACUCAAAGGAGGGUUCCAAUGGCUCACCCCCAGGAUUCCAUGUUGCCUCCUGUUCUGGCGAACAUUUGUACCAUUGAAUUGGACAGCAGCCAGUAUGGCAUCUCCAUCAAAUGUACAGAUGACAA